UACAUGUGGGGCUAGCGUUGCUCGGAAUCACUGGGCGUAAAGCGCACGUAGGCGGCUUUCUAAGUCAGGGGUGAAAUCCUGGAGCUCAACUCCAGAACUGCCUUUGAUACUGGAGAGCUUGAGUCCGGAAGAGGAGAGUGGAAUUCCCGGUGUAGCGGUGAAAUGCGCAGAUAUCGGGAAGAACACCCGUGGCGAAGGCGGCUCUCUGGGACGGUACUGACGCUGAGACGCGAAAGCGUGGGGAGCGAACAGG
rnacentral:rRNA from 1 species